CACCGGCAGCUCAAGUGGUAGCCGCUUUUAUUGGGCCUAAAGCGUCCGUAGCCGGUCUGAUAAGUCUCUGGUGAAAUCCCACAGCUUAACUGUGGGAAUUGCUGGAGAUACUAUCAUGACUCGAGGUCGGGAGAGGCUGGAGGUACUCCCAGGGUAGGGGUGAAAUCCUGUAAUCCUGGGAGGGCCACCUGUGGCGAAGGCGUCCAGCUGGAACGAACCUGACGGUGAGGGACGAAAGCCAGGGGCGCGAGCCGC
rnacentral:rRNA from 1 species